AAGUCGUAACAAGGUUUCCGUAGGUGAACCUGCGGAAGGAUCAUUAUAAAUCUGCGUAAAGGAGGCGGUCGCAAGACUGCUCUUCUUUACAUUUGUUCGAGGCAGCAAUGCUUCGCAACACUUGCGCUUGUUUUGUUUGACAGAGUAAAUUAUCGUUUAAAAAAGACAACUUUUAACAAUGGAUCUCUUGGCUCUU
rnacentral:misc_RNA from 1 species